rnacentral:rRNA from 1 species
UACAUGGGGUGCAAACGUUGCUCGGAAUUAUUGGGCGUAAAGCGCGCGUAGGCGGUUACUUAAGUCGGAUGUGAAAGCCCUCGGCUUAACUGAGGAAGUGCACCCGAAACUGAGUAGCUAGAGUACGAAAGAGGGUCGCGGAAUUCCCGGUGUAGAGGUGAAAUUCGUAGAUAUCGGGAGGAACACCCGUGGCGAAGGCGGCUCUCUGGGACGGUACUGACGCUGAGACGCGAAAGCGUGGGGAGCGAACAGG